UGCAAGCAUGAAAACAGGUACCUGAUGUGAAUGAUUAGUAAGCUGGAAGAAAGACAAUCAGAUGUAGAUUUUCUGCUGGGUAGACGGUAGCCAAUGAAGGAAAAAGUAACGGAACCAGCAGAUAUUCAGCCUCAGGAAAAAGGAUAAGAAAUCUCUAGAGUAGACAUAGUAACAUCUUACAGUGGCAUAGCUCUUAACAGUUUAUCAGUCAGGGUAAUGGUAUAACCACCUCGUAACACAUAAAAAGUCCCGAGGUCCAGAUGGGUUGAUUAUACAGUAAGAAAUCCAGAUAUGUUAGUCUGGCAGUAAGUAAGAGCCUCCAACUACUUUUAUUACCUUCUCAACUCACCACAGCUGUCCCUAACUAGAGAGGUACUAAAGGCAGAGGAUCCAGGGUCAAGGUUUUCAAAACUCUGACAUACCCACAAGGGUGGAGUAGACUGACAAUCAGCAAUUGUGCUUCAUUUUAGUAUCAACUGUAAUGGGGAAGAAAUAGUUGAAAAUUUAAAAAAUAUAUACCAAACGGUGAUGGGUUAUUUGUAAAGAACUCUCAUGGCUUACAUAAUGAUUUUAUUAUGAGAUAAGAGGCUUAUAUGUAACAUUUUUAAGUUAGGGUAAAAUUGGUGUUCAAAAAAGUCCACAGUUGAUUAUUUACCUUUCUAUUAAAGACAGUGACCUUAAAGCAAAAGAGUGCCUCAGCCACCUAGGACUUAGAGAACUCUCGAAUUUCUUCCUCCUUUCUCCCAUCUAUUUAUAGAUUUUCUUUUAUAUGAUAUAUAUCUUCCCAAAAAAUUAAGUGAAAUUUUAUUUUGUAUAAAUCAAAUAAUAUUUCAAAUACAUUAAGGGACUAUAUGAUAAAGGAUCCUUGAAGUAAAUCCUUCUUGUUUUCUCAUCUGAAACACCACUCACUAAUUUAUCUUUUGUAAACUGAUUUACACAUAUCUUGUGUUGCAUAACGCAGCACACGGCCUUAAAGGUUCUAUGGUGCAGUCUUUACCUCAGACUGUAUAAAAGAAAGGACUCUCUAGUUCUGAGCAGGUCUAUAGACACUGGAGUGAUCAUUUUCAGUCAGUUUCAGUUAGGGAAGUUAUUUAUCUGGACUAAUACGAAAAAUACUAUUAAAAUAAUACGAAUGGAUAAAGUUGACAAGUUAUAUUUUUUCUAGUUAUUGGUUUAAACUAUUGUCACCUAUCAUAGCGUCAAAGCUACUAUUAAGAAAUCAAAAUGAACCCAAAUCCCUUGGAUCCAUACUAGAUUUACUGAGUCAGAAUCUCUGGAGCUAAUCUCUAAGGCAUGCUAAAUUUUGCAAAAUAUUAUUCAGAUGAAUUUACUUUUGCCAAGCCAUUCAAUUGUUUUUUAUUCUAGUCUAAAAUUCUUCUUGUGCUUUCCUAUUCCAAUGUGAAUCUAGUUUGCUAAGCCUGGAUGAACAUUUUUCUUGAUUAGGAGAAUGUGCAACAAAGGACAACUAUACAUAAAAUGGUCAGGUUUUUCCUGAUAAACUGUUAUUUAUAGAUUUUGCUCCCCGCUAGCUCUUUCAACAGAAAUCUCUGAAAACUAUCUUAAAUCAGCUGGGUUAUUCACUUAUUACUUGCUUUCAUGGAUAAUAAUAUAACUGUUGAAGAGCUGGAGGUGGGGAGAGAAGAAGGACUAAUUUAUGAUGUAAUAGGCAUUGUGUUGUCCUCAUUUCAUUCUCAAACCAUCUUAGGAAACAGGUAUAACCACCAUUUUAAAAAAAGGAAAAUAAGAAUCAUGGUAGCUGAAUAAUUUGCCAAGGCUUAUAUAGUAGAGCUGGGGAUUCAAAUCCAGUGCUCCUGACUCUAAGGAUGUGCUCCUACCACCCAAUAGCACAUUUUCAAAUGUUAACGAAGACCACAAUCAAUAUAAUUAGGGCUCAUAUAUUUUAAUAAGGGGUGUGGAGAUAGGAGGAAAAGAAUGUACUUUCCUAUUCCUAAACAGAAAAAUUACAUAAGCUAUUUCACAUUGUGUAGAGAUUUCCUUCAAUAUCCCAAGUCCACAACUUAAUGGAAAGAAAUAUCUAUUAUUUUCUUGAAGUUUUAUACAUUGUUUCCUAAAAAGCAUGAACAUUUGAAAGAAAAAAUCCUUCAAAUAAUAAAUACUCCCAGGGCUUCCCUGGUGGUGCAGUGGUUGAGAGUCCGCCUGCCGAUGCAGGGGACAUGGGUUCGUGCCCCAGUCCGGGACGAUCCCACAUGCUGUGGAGCAGCUGGGCCCGUGAGCCAUGGCUGCUGAGCCUUCGCAUCCGGAGCCUGUGCUCCGUGACGGGAGAGGCCCGCAUACCGCAAAAAUAAAUAAAUACUCCCAAAUACUCAUGUUUUAUUUUCAUUUCCAAUUUUUCUAGCAUAUUAUAAACUUAUGACAAAAACAUGAUAAGUAGAUAUCCAUAAUAUAAACUUCAACUGGCCAAAGAUGGAGGGAAGGUUGUCAAUUGAAGCAAAAACUAUAUAGACAGUCAAUAAAGUAACGAGUGCAAUGACAAUGUGAAAAAAGACCAAUCAUCUACAGUCAGAAAACGUUGACUGGCAAUGACAUGGCUUAGAGGUUGCAGAAUAUUUCCUUUGAUGAUUUUAUAUGGGGAUAUUUUCUGUAGAAGUAUCAUUACUUACACAAAUGAUAUGGAAUCUAGGAGCAUGUUACAUAAAGGAGGCAGGACGAUAACCUCUAUAACAAUGUACAUUCUGCUUGUCCUGUUACUCAGAACAUAUUCAAUAAUAUAUAGUUUAAAUUAAAAAUAAAUAUAAUUUUCCUUGUGAAGGUAAUACAAAUGUUUUCAUCAUUAUGUGCAGGUGGCCAAAUAAUUUUUUUUACAUUUAUUUUUAAAUUCACAUCAUCAAAUAAAUCUUCCUUAGUUUCAGCUAUUAACAAAUGAUUAUUAAAUAGCGGCUACUGGGCUUCCCUGGUGGCGCAGUGGUUGAGAGUCCGCCUGCCGAUGCAGGGGACAUGGGUUUGUGCCCCGGUCUGGGAGGAUGCCACGUGCCGCAGAGCACCUGGGCCCGUAAGCCAUGGCCGCUGAGCCUGCGCGUCCGGAGCCUGUGCUGCGCAACGGGAGAGGCCACAACAGUGAGAGGCCCGCGUACCGCAAAAAAAACAAAACAAACAACAACAAAAAAAAUAGCGGUUACUAUUCAUUCCAUUAGUGUCUCUAGGAGCAUUUUAUUAAACCACUGGACUAACAGUCUCUCCUAUUUCUCCCUGAACUUGCACAAGCCCAAGGUAAUAUAAUUGGGAAGUUACAUUAUCAUUUUACUCCAUCACACUAUCUGAAUAUGUAACAUCCAUGUAAAAAACAGUUUUUAAUAAUCCACAUGGGAUUCAAGAGCCAGUAAAAUACUGUAAGUCAAAAUUCUACUAAAAAUUGCCACUACUACAACUGUGAUAAAACUAUAUGCUAUAAAUGUAAAACAAUUAAUAAAUCCAGCAAAGAAAGAAGCUCUAGCAUCCUGAAUCUAAUAUCAUUACAUCUGUUCAUCCUGGCACCACGACCACCAUACAGAAAUUAUAACUGAAAUAUCUAAAGUAAUUCUGAUUUGGAACAGCAAAGUUGCUCCUUGUAUCUGGGCUGAAGAUGUGAUAAAGGACAAUGAAGAAGACAAAAAAAACUACACAUACCGAGAGAUACAUAAAGACAAUGCCCUAAACAGUCUGAUGAAAACAUGGUGAAAGACUGGAUCAACCCUAUUCGUUCUGCUCUACUAUAACGCAAUUACUGGAAUAGCAUGUCCACCGCAGUCGGAAGCUGGAAAUAUGGUUUCUAAAGUCCUCUCUAGCAGUUCUUGACCAAGAUACUUGUAAUAUUCAUUAUCUAUGGGUGUUAUUUUAUAUUCAUUUAUAAAAUAAGGAAAUUAUUGCCUUGAGACAAGAGCCUAGAGACCCAUCCCAGCUCUACUCUGACUACAUUUAUAACAAAGAGGUCUAAGGAAAGACACUGAAUAUCUCUGAACUUCAGCUAUCUGGAGAAAAACCUGAGAUCUUUGUGAGGUGGACAGUUUUUCACCUUUGGAUUUGAUGAAAUCUUAAGAUCAGUGUACUGGACAUCCUUCAAAACUCUUUGCCAGUUCUUCCUUAACAAACUCCAAACUUGAGUUUCUUGAACCAUUGUUGGAUUUUAGACAUGCCUAUUUCACAAUGAACCCUUGUCGUACUUCAUCAUUUUCUGGAAGAAUAACAUAAGGCUGGGGUAGUAGCCCUUAUUAAUGUUUUCCUUGCAUUUGAUUCCAGUUAUGGAACAAAAAUGUGUGAACUAAUAUGACACCUUGGUACUACCAAAAAGGGAUAGGAAGAAGUGUCUUUUAACAGAUAAAUACUUUAAGUAAUAUAAAACAUGUAGUUUGGGGUCACUUCUUUUAAAUUUAAUAAUCAAAUAUAGAUUUCAGAUAAGUAUAUGCCUUCAAGCUACUCUGAAUAUAAACAUAAUUCUCUAUAAUGAUGACAUAGUUUUAUUGUCAUAUACUUUCACUUUCUGAGGGCAGACAAUUGACUGUGCUCUAUAAUUGCCACCAGAAUUUAAUUAUUUCCAGAAAUAAUGACUUAGUACUAAGCACUUUAAAACAAAAUGAUAAUAAUUAACACUUAAUGUUUACUUUUCUAAACAUUUUACUUGUAUUAAUUCAUUUAAUACUCAUUAAUAUGGUUAACAGGAUUAAUAAUAACCCUAUAAAGUAAGUACUAUUGUUAUCCCUUAAGAAGAUAAGGAAAAUGAUGAUCAAAGUGACUAUGUAUUGAUAACAUACAGCUUCUAAAUUGUGGAACAAGAAUUAAAAUUCAGAUGAUAUACAGACAAACUGACCCCUACCAACUGCCCAUUUAAAGUCGGCUUCAUAAGCCAAAUACUUAAAAUUCUAUUCACUUAAGGCUACAACUGAAGACAUCAAUAUAAUGGAUGUGUUUAUUAGAUAACCAAUAUAUGUCAAGUGGAAAGAAAGAAUCUUCGAGAGAUAUAAAAAAGUAUACGAUAUAGUCCUCGUUCUCAAGGGACUUAUAGUCUCAGCAAAGAGAAAAGGCAUUCAUAUUAAGAAAAAAAAAUCAAGUUAAAUUGAAUACCUGUAAGUGCAGACGGCAAUCAGAAGAUGAAAUCAAAGUUAGCAGAGUUGUUGGGGAUAAUUCUGGGCAAAAGUGAGAACUGAGAUAGAAAUAUAGAAUGUAAGACUAACAGCAUUCAGAUGGGUAAAAUGAAGAGAGGAAAGUGAAGAAAGAACACUGUGUUUUUAUUUAUGUACAUUUGUUACUCCAAUAGUAUUUGUUAGAGUCGUGCUUGUCUGGCAUAGAAACACCAAACUCAAUUUUUGUCCUGACUGCCUAAAAGUUCGGACCCAAAUUUUACUCUGGCCACAGCAAACUUGUGGCCUUUCUAGAUGGACGUAAGUAUUUCCCAACUUUUCCUCAACUCUAUUUCUCUUUAUAUUGCUAUUUAUUCACUGUAUUUUAUUUUUCUUUGGGGCGGGGAGGUGUUAAAUAGUAUUAAUCCUUUGUGGGAAAUGUUAUAUCUGUUUCAUUAAAAUGUUCAUAACGCAUUUUGAAGACUGAUUCAGACAACUUUAUUAAUUUAAAAUAAUUAUGUGAAUUAAAUCAAAUAAUUUCUUAGAAGCUAAUAAUUAUAACAUCCUCAGUCAAAUUACUGUUCGGCAUCAGGUGAAAAAAUGGCCUACCAAUUGACUGACUUUUUCUUUUUACAACCUCUUCAGUCUUUAUGUUAACCUUGGUAAAUAUUAACCAUAAUUUUUAUUCCAAAAAGUAAACACAACUUUUACUUUUGAUUGCUCCAUUUCACAAAUAAAGAAACUAAAGUAGAAUAUGAUUAAAGGUCAUGAUCAAAAUCACUUUGGUAACAGAAAACAGACCCACUAAUAGAAUUCACAUUUACUCAAUAUUAAUAUUCACUACAGUAAAAUAUUUCAUGAACACAUCAAAAUUUAACAAAAUAAGCAGAAUUAUUUCUGCCUUAAAAGUACAGACAGGGCUUCCCUGGUGGUGCAGCGGUUGAGAAUCUGCCUGCUAAUGCAGGGGACAUGGGUUCGAGCCCUGGUCUGGGAGGAUCCCACAUGCUGUGGAGCAACUGGGCCCGUGAACCACAACUACUGAGCCUGCACGUCUGGAGCUCGUGCUCCGCAACGAGAGGCCGCGAUAGCGAGAGGCCCGCGCACCGCGAUGAAGAGUGGCCCCCGCUUGCCACAACUACAGAAAGCCCUCGCACAGAAACGAAGAUCCAACACAGCAAAAAUAAACUAAUGAAUUAAUAAACUCCUACCCCCAACAUCUUAAAAAAAAAAGUACAGACAGCUGUCAAUAAAGUUGUUAUAUUUAAAAAGUACAAAUGAGGUUGAGAAACAUUCUCUAUCAAAUUUUGCUUAUCAUUUGGACUAUUAACUUGCAGCUAUCUCUGUGGCCACUUGAUAGUUAUAAAUUUUCAUUCACAGGUAUUUAUUCUGAGUGCCUGUUCUUUUCUAUAGGGAUUAUCCUUUAUAUUAUAUCAAUUACUUUGGCAUUUUUAAUUCAAUUCAAUCAAAUAAGUAUUUAUUCAGCUUUUACUAUAACAUGCAAGGACUAAGAUAGGUGAUAAAGUGACCAAAUGCUUAAAAGUGAAUAAAUAAUUGCAAUUCAGUGUGAUAUUUCUAAAAAUGAAGUAUAUGCAUGAUGCUAUAGGAUUGAUGGAGAAAGAAUAAUUAAUUUUGCUGGAAGAAAAUCUGAAAAGUCCUCAAAGUAAAUGCCAUUUGAGACUCUGUAAUCUCAAGUUUGCCAGUCACACAACUCAUACCUGUCCUGCAGGAUCCACUCCCCACUCCUAAUGAAAGUUGGGAGGUAUUUUAGAUGUUUAUGAGUAUUACCUUCUAGAAAUCUAGAACUCUGAUAGUUUCUGAGUCUAGUAUUUUCCUCAGAUAGUUAGCUACUCCGUUUCUUUCCAUGUAUAAAUACUAAAGAAGAUUUUUAAAAAUUUUCCCCUUCCACAAUCUUCUAAAUUUAAUCCUUCAAUCAAAAGUAUUCAAUUUAGCCAUUCCAUUGUAAAUUCAGGACAUAUGAAUUUUGUUAAAUAAUAAGUAAAUAAGUGUAAUGGAUUGUCAGAUGUUUUUAUUUUGCUUUAACAUGCCCCAUGCAAAUCCAGUGUGUGUGUGUCAAAAAGGCUAUAUUGCAGUUCUAACCUCAGGAAUAUGUGAAAAAAUGUAGAAGAGGUAUAUUUGCCUGUGCAAUUUAAAUGUUCACCACUUACUGGUUAUGACAUGACUGAUAUUAAAGUGAAUGAGAAUUAGGUUAUAAAUAGGGUCUUUUCUAUUCUAUUCUAUCAAACAAUUCUUUUAGAAAGUGAAAAAUAUUAGUAAAGUGGUCAGUUCAUCCGAUACAGCAAUGAGCACUGUUGCUCUGGUAGCUGCUCAAUAUCAUUAACUUUUCAUUUCUUUAAAUAUGUUUUUCCCUUAACAAACUCCUCUCUUUAUGAGACUACCAUUAUUCCCAAAGGAUUUCACUGUUUGGUGCUUAAGGCAAUUUCUUAUUAAAUUCUCAAGAAUGCAACUUACAUUAAGCUGAGGCAAAAGAGUUGAAGUGAAUUCAGUAACUAGUUCAAGGCACAGUUUUCUGAUCUUCCCACUUAUAAAAAUGAAUAUAUUUUAAUAUUAGAAUUCCAGAAUAUAACAAUAUUAACAUGAAGAGAGCUCAUCAUGAAGAAUGCUAUUUUAGUGGAUGCCAAAGAACUUGUUUCUUAGUGGUCUCCUAAAAUAUUCUUGUGGAUUAUGAAGAGUGUGCAGUAUGGCAAGGGCAGCCAUGACAAUCCUAUAUGUGGAAAUGAAAUGUAUAUUAUAUUCAAAUAAUCUUUUUCAAAAAUAAAUUACAUAUAAAUUUUUACUCUAGAUAGUCAUCUAUAGUGUGGCCCAUGCUAUAUUGUAGUAAAUGAGCCCGUAAACCUGAGUUCAUUAGACUGGAACUAUCUACUAUAUUAAAUACCUAAAAUAUUCUUAGUAUGAGUACGUUGGAUAUUAUCUUUGAAAUGUUACAUAUGUAGGAUGUAUAAUUUUUUCCCAUUUUUAAAAUUUUGUAUAUUUUUUUAAUGACUAUAAAAUUACAACAGCCUUUAGGGUUUCUGAAGUUUCAUGACUGUCCUUAAUUCCUAUCAAAGAGCAGCAAAAUCUAGCCUGAGAAACUCCAGUUGGUUUACAAAGAAAAGUUGCUUUUCAUUUUAUGCGGCCCUGUUACAAUUAGUGUGAAAUACUGACACUUACAUUCCUGAGUGCAAUAAGAGCAGGAUGGAAUGGUUAUGGCAAAUAAUUGGACAGUCUCCAGAGAGGCUGUGAGAAAUACUAUUAGACCUCCAUCUGCUGGCUGGAAAUUCCAGGUUCAUAGGGUUUAAUGCUAGCUAAAAUAAAAGGCUUUGAUGAUUUCUACCACUCCUUUUCAGGCUUGUACCCACCCCAUCUACUUCCAAAAGGACUUGUGACAAUUUAUGGACUAAAACAUCUGCAUAAUUAAAUAUUUUAAGCUAGUGAUCACUAGAAAGGCUACAUUUUAUUAUUUCUGUUAAAUUUCUUAUUGCAUAUGUGUGCUCACAUAGUGAGCAAGGGUGAUAAGACUUGAAGAGGAAAAGUUUAUAUUAAUUUAUCUUGCAACAUAAAUUUUCCAAUUAUACAGUAUUAUGCAGUUCUAUUAGCGCACCAAUAUGGUUCUGUUUUAACUUAGUUCCAGAUCUGACAACCAAACCUAGUUUUCAAAGUAAGUCUUUUUUUCAAUAAAUUGAAUAUCCCAGUGCUUUAAAAAAUUCAGAUAAGGCUCAAAGCUUCCCUUUUAAAAAGAUCCUUUGACACUUUUCAUAAAAGGAGCUCUUUGCUUGUGGCUGGAUUUUAGGACUUCCACGAAUCCCUUGAACAUUCAAUGACUUGGCUUUACGUAACUAUAUGUGUGUAUUUAUGAAAGAUCCAGAAGCUUGCUAAUGAGAAUUGCUAAAAUAAAUAUAUAUAUUAAAAUAUAAGAUUAUUUCUGCCAAACCAUUAUGUGAUACAAAGUCAUCCACUGGGGUGUAUUUACAUGUGUUACUGUAAUGGACAGUAAGACAAAAAGAAAUCCACUGAAGGACAUUCCUUCUUCUGUCUAGAGUUAUGGUAACCCAGAGAACACACCAAUCUCCUCAGGAAUACCGGUAUAAAUUUUUAAUACGUGAAAAAUAUCCACACUAUUCACCUGUGACUGCUUAUGAAAUUCCCAAAUGGUAAGGUUCUUACCAAAGCAAACCCCGAAGCAUCUAGCAUUUGAGCUAUUUCAUUCCAGAGAAAAAAAAUUAAAAUUUUUUUUAGAAAUAAGAGUAACUGUUAGUAAUAAAUUAUGUCCAAGUCACUCCAGCACAGUGUAUUUCAAUCACUUCAGUAUUUUUAUCUCCCCAAAAAGUGUCAGAAAUGAGACAUGAAAAACUAUUAACUGAAUCAUUCACUCACUGAAUAGAUGUUGUUGUCAGUUUGUUCUUUGGAUGGAAAUAAUGAACAACUGAUUUAUUUAUAACUGGUAAUUAUGAUAAUACAUCUUCAUUUUCCACCCUUUUCAGUAUAUUAUAGAUAUUUUAUAAUUGUCUUAUUUCAUACCAGAUCUAAAAUCAUAAGCUUCCAUAAAAAUUUCUUCUUUCCCAGGCUUUUCCAUAGUUUCCUUUGAUUUGGGGUGUAAUUAAAAUAUUUUAACUGA